rnacentral:lncRNA from 1 species
GAUGAUGAAAACUCUACUGUGAACAUCUACCUUGCUAGAUUCUCCACUUACCAAAUAACCAAAUACUCCUGAGGAUCCAGAAUAGAACUUAAGAAGCUGAAGGCCAAGUAGUUCUACAUAGCCAUGAAGAAGGCCAGAGACCUUCUUGAGAUGUUAUCUACAGAGCUGGUCUGGAUGGGAUGCCAGUCUAAACCUACACAUUGAAAGGAUCUCAUAAGCAAGUAUAAAGCUGGAAGCAAAGUUCAAAAGUAGUUUUAAGUAAGUUAUUUUCAUCUCCAGCUAUAUUUUUCAGGAUGUUAACAGCUCAAUUGUCAACGUUUGGCUCCUAGGGCAGAGAAGGUGAGCUGGUCCCAGCACCCAGAAGGAAGCUCCCUCACUGCCAUCCCAAGCUCCUAGGGCAGAGAAGGUGAGCUGCAAGGGUGCCAGAAGCACCCUCCCCGCCAGGGGAAAUGAGAAGACAUGUAAACAAGCCUCAAAAACAGACUUCUGGAUCACCUACAGCAACCCCAAAGGGAAAUGAGAUGGAACAAUCUGAUACUCAACUACUUGGACUCUCUGAACUGGCAACAAAAAAGGAUCUGGGAAAAAUGAAAUCAGAAAUAAUUUCUCAGAUAACAGCAAAGAUUUUGCUCAUGGUGCAAGACAUGAUUAAUAAAUCUAGAGAGGACACAGAUAAAAAAAAUAGAGG